AUGGGGUUAUAUGGGGAUAUAUGGGGUUAUAUGGGGUUAUAUGGGGUUAUAUGGGGUUAUAUGGGGGUAUAUGGGGUUAUAUGGGGUUAUAUGGGGAUAUAUGGGGUUAUAUGGGGUUAUAUGGGGGAUAUAUGGGGAUAUAUGGGGUUCUAUGGGGUUCUGUGGGGUUCUAUGGGGUUCUAUGGGGAUAUAUGGGGUUCUAUGGGGGAUAUAUGGGGUUAUAUGGGAUUAUAUGGUGUUGUAUGGGGUUAUAUGGGGUUAUAUGGGAUAUAUGGGGGUUAUAUGGGGUUAUAUGGGGUUGUAUGGGGUUAUAUGGGGUUGUAUGGGGUUCUAUGGGGUUCUAUGGGGUUAUAUGGGGUUCUAUGGGGUUAUAUGGGGAUAUAUGGGGGGAUAUAUGGGGUUAUAUGGGGUUAUAUGGGGGAUAUAUGGGGUGAUAUGGGGUUCUAUGGGGUUAUAUGGGAUUAUAUGGGGUUAUAUGGGGUUGUAUGGGGGGAUAUGGGGCUAUAUGGGGUUAUAUGGGUGUUAUAUGGGGUUAUAUGGGGUUAUAUGGGAUAUAUGGGGUUAUAUGGGGUUAUAUGGGGGGAUAUGGGGGAUAUGGGGUUCUAUGGGGUUAUAUGGUGGUAUAUGGGGGGAUAUAGGGGAUUUAUGGGGUUCUAUGGGGUUCUAUGGGGUUCUAUGGGAUUAUAUGGGGUUAUGUGGGGUUAUGUGGGGUUAUAUGGGGUUAUAUGGGAUGUAAUGGGGUUCUAUGGGGUUCUAUGGGGUUCUAUGGGGUUAUAUGGGGGAUUUACGGGGUUAUAUGGGGUGGAUAUAGGGGUAUAUGGGGUUCUAUGGGGUGAUAUGGGGUUAUAUGGGGUUAUAUGGGGAUAUAUGGGGGGAUAUGGGGGUUAUAUGGGGUUAUAUGGGGUUAUAUGGGUGUUAUAUGGGGUUAUAUGGGGUUAUAUGGGGUUAUAUGGGGUUGUAUGGGUUAUAUGGGGUUAUAUGGGGUUAUAUGGGGUUAUAUGGGGGUAUAUGGGGUUAUAUGGGAUUUAA
rnacentral:lncRNA from 1 species